UGAAGAAUAUUGGGCAAUGGGCGAAAGCCUGACCCAGCAACGCCGCGUGAGGGAAGAAGGUUCUCGGAUUGUAAACCUCUGUCCCAUGGGACGAACACAAUGACGGUACCAUGGGAGGAAGCCCCGGCUAACUACGUGCCAGCAGCCGCGGUAAUACGUAGGGGGCAAGCGUUGUCCGGAAUUAUUGGGCGUAAAGGGUGCGUAGGCGGCCUUUCAAGUCGGAUGUGAAAUCCCCGUGCUUAACAUGGGAAUUGCAUUCGAAACUGGAGGGCUUGAGUGUGGAAGAGGUAAGUGGAAUUCCCAGUGUAGCGGUGAAAUGCGUAGAUAUUGGGAGGAACACCAGUGGCGAAGGCGACUUACUGGGCCACAACUGACGCUGAGGCACGAAAGCGUGGGGAGCAAACAGG
rnacentral:rRNA from 1 species